AAGUCGUAACAAGGUCUCCGUAGGUGAGUAACUGCGAUGUCCUCCUUGUCUUACAACCAAAUAUCAAACGCUAACUUUUACAGGUGAACCUGCGGAGGGAUCAUUACUGAGUGAGGGCUUGACGGCUCGACCUCCAACCCAUGUUUCAAUACCUCGUUUCCUCGGGGGUGACCUGUCUUCACCGCCAGAGCCCCCGAUGGACUAUCCAACUCUGCCUCGUUGCGUCUGAGUCAUAAAGUAAUAUAAAUAAAACUUUCAACAACGGAUCUCUUGGUUCUG
rnacentral:misc_RNA from 1 species